GAAGAAUUAAAGGUCGAACAGACCUCCAUAUUUAUUUAAAAAUGGCCCCUCAAUUCAACAUCGAGGUCGUAAGUCUUUAAAUAAUAUUAAAUUAUUAUUUAAAAUUACGCUGUUAUCCCUAAAGUAACUCUAAAUCUAUUUAAGAUAAUAUAUUUCAUAAAUAUAUGUUUAAUUUAUUAAAGUUUUUUAAUUACCGCCCCAGCCUAACUAUUAAGAAAUUCUAUUUUCUAUUUUAUAAAUUAAUCUCCAUAGUAAAGUUUUAUAGGGUCUUAUCGUCUUUCUAACUUAGCUAUACUUUUAAAUAUAGAUAUCAAUUUCUAACCCUAAACCUAAAAAGUCAAAAUGUUGUUGACUCUUUCAUCCCAGUUCUCUAUUAUAGAACAAAUGAUUAUGCUACCUUAGCACAGUUAAAAUUCUGCGGCUAUUUACUUCUUUCACUGAGCAGAGUUUACUAGUUUAAAAACUAGAA
rnacentral:rRNA from 1 species